rnacentral:rRNA from 1 species
AACGAACGCUGGCGGCAUGCCUAACACAUGCAAGUCGAACGAGACCUUCGGGUCUAGUGGCGCACGGGUGCGUAACGCGCGGAAAUCUGCCCUUCGGUUGGGAAUAACUGAGAGGAAUUUCAGCUAAUACCUUAUAAUGUAUUCGGACCAAAGAUUUAUAGCCGAGGGAUGAGCCCGCGUAGGAUUAGGUAGUUGGUGGGGUAAUGGCCUACCAAGCCGACGAUCCUUAGCUGGUCUGAGAGGAUGAUUAGCCACACUGGGACUGAGACACGGCCCAGACUCCAACGGGAGGCAGCAGUGGGGAAUAUUGGACAAUGGGCGAAAGCCUGAUCCAGCAAUGCCGCGUGAGUGAUGAAGGCCUUAGGGUUGUAAAGCUCUUUUACCCGGGAUGAUAAUGACAGUACCGCGAGAAUAAGCUCCGGCUAACUCCGUGACAGCAGCCGCUGUAA